GAUUGGAUGUUAUCUGAUUAUGGGAUUAGAGUGGCAAAAGGCUGAAUGCUAGAAUGAAGUGCUAAAGACUCGUAAGUCGGCAGGACUCCAUGCUAUUCAUUCCUUUAGUGGUUCUAAAGGAUGAAGUGGCUGAUCUGCUAAGAAGAAUGCAUCUCGUUAGGAUGAAAUGCUGUGCCAGAAGACCGGAAGCUGUCAAGUGCUGUACAUACUGUACUUCUAAACUGAACACAAAGAGCAGAGCUGGAAUUUGCAGACCAAGGACUCUUAUUUUAAUGCUACUUAAGUAGCUUUGAAUUCUGCGUGGAUAGUCUAGUAGUUCUGUGAGAACAAGAUACAACAGCUUUCUAUGCAGUUGUAUCUUAGAGGUAAUGAAAAAUACCAGCUGCAGCUGGGGUACUUGUCAUGUGUCUGUUGCCUGUGUGUUUUUUUUCCCCUAAUAACAUGGGCAUAGGCUGCAGUCUGUACUUCAGUUUGGUCUCUUUGUGGGUUGGUCUUCUAUAUGUAUCUUCCCAGUACUUGGAUUUCUGAAAUCUCUAAAUUCUUAUUAAACUGUAAUUGACUUUUCAGUUUUCCUUUUUGAUGAAGUCUGAAAUCAGGUAGUGGAUUUGAAAGUUGGAAAAGGCCAGGCCUAACCUAAGCAGACAUGUUUAACUGCAUUAAUCUCUUCUGUGUUUAGCAGUCUAAACAAUUACUAAGUUGCUUGUGUUAUUAGUAGACAAGAGAGGGAUGGACCUCUAUACUGAUACACUCACACACCCUGUUUAGUUCAUCCCACCUUAAACUUACAGUGUAUGGCCUUUGGCAGGAAAUUGUACCCCGUGCAAUUUGGUGAGGCUUUGCGAGUUGUCAUUUUUUAUACCAUUGUGGGAGUGAUGACCAGUGAUGCAGAGGUGGAACUGAAAGCUAAAAGCACUCCAGUAGUAUGCUAUGCUGCUUUCAGUGGCAGAGCUGUUUUUACCUUUUAAUUUGCACUCAGGUGGCAACAGCAGUUUCUUAAGUACUGACAUUUGUAGCUGCAAUUAGCUGUGUCAUCUUGUUCCCUCACUUUCCCUCCUGUUGUAUUAGCACAGUGAUUUGUGCCAUCAUGCAGUGACUGGAAUCAGAAAAUUGAUCCUGACUUGAAGAGGGGUCUGUGGCAAGCAGCAAUUUCUAACCCAAGCUAGUUCCUCACUCUAGUCUAGUGGGUGGGUCCACCAGGAGAUGGGAUCCUGACCUAAGGAUCAGGACAAGCCACAGGAGGGUCCUCUCUCUUUGAACUGGCAUUUUACCAGAAUAGAUGCUCAUCAGAUUAUGCCUCUAGAAUCUCUGACUCAUCUUGCCCUCAAGUAAGCAUCUGAAGUAAAGUACUGAAUACAUUCUGUAAAAUCAGAGAAAGUUGUGAGAAACUUGAAGACAGUCUUCUAAAGCUGUCUGUAUUAGCACGAUGGUGGUAGAUGAUAUUUGGUAUUUUUAGAUACAAAAUAUUUCAUGCUGGAAGGAGUAACUUUAACUACUUGAAGAUAAUUCUAUAUUACAAGCAAAGGUUCUUCAAAAAUAUGUGUAUCAUUAUAGAUACCCAGGUGAAAGCCUCUUUGAAGAGAAGAAAUAUAUAAUGUAUAAGAAACAUCCCUAAACUGUAUUAAAAUGGUCCUCUGCAGUAGCAUUAAAUGGAAGUUCCUUAUCUGGGCAUCUCUGCUUAGAUUAACUGUCUAUAUGGUUUAAUGAAUUCAUUUAUACUUUAUUAAUCACUGCAUAUACAUGUCCUUUGUGUUGUAAAUGCUAUUCUUAAGUAACAAGUUAUUGAAAGGCAAGUAAAGUAUUUCCAGUAACUUUACACAAAAUAAGUUGCUAUAUUUCUUGCUUUCAGUUCAAUUAUUUCAGAUGAUCUGUAAAUUUUCAAUAAUGGCAAUACAUUCAUUCUGCCAUUUGGAGGAGCCUGUGCCACAGAAUAAUGAUCUGAAGAAAGCUCACUCAUUUGCUAGGACGAGUCUUAAUUUGGGAAUUAGCACUGAUGCAGCUCAAGGAUGCUUUUUCAUGUCCAGACUCCUUCAGCAGAACUGUUAUUUUCCUAACACAAUCUCUGGUACAAGGAUAAAAUUGGGUUUUUGUCAAAGAACAGAGUCCUGUAUCUGAAGAGUAAGAAGGUCCUUGACAUUCAGUGGGAUGACAAUCUCAGAACUGACUACUGGGGACUCCCAAGCUACAGAUCAGGAGGAGAGUCUGUUGCCUUAUCUGCAAUACACCUAUGGGAGUUUCAGGGUCUUCCAGGAGAGGAUAUCUCAUUCCUGACAUGCUCACCAAGAAGAGGUGAUGGAGCCUGUGUGGUGCUUUGAAGAUUAACUUCAUUAUCAUGCUGUGGAAUGGGCAGCUGGAAUUGGCAGAUGCUUUUUCAAACAACCAAGCAAAGUGCAGGUGUGGGUUGCUUGUCAGAAAUCCAUUCUGAAGCUUGAGUGCAAAGGAAGCAGAGUACUAAUGAUGAAUACGAAUGGAUAUCUUAAGGAUAACAAUGGAUCUUCAAAAGCAGUGGCAUUCUGCUAUGUUGAUUUGAGGAUUUGUCCAUGAUUCACAGUGGGGAGAAAAAAGCUGGUGCCAGCCAUGAAUGCAUUCCAGGUCUUUUCUAUAGGAUUGAGGAGUUUAGUAAAUAGCAGGGUUGAAGUUAGUGCAAAGAGCUGUGCAUCCACCAGGCAUAUCUGGGUCCUAGUCCUGCAACUGGAUUUAUUCAAAUGGACCUCGAUAGCCUGGGGGCCUGAUGAAGCUCAUGGGACUCUGGUGACUGCAGGUUCUCACUCUGAAGAUCUGAUUGUAGGCCUGAACCUAAAUUUCUAUUUCGUUCUCCUGUCUAUUUGCUUCUUAAGUGAUGAAAAUUAUCCUUUAAAAUGGUGUUGUCUUUGAAUCUCAUGUACAUCCACUUUAGUAGUGUUCCAACACUGUGUGCCUGGGAUGUUGUCAGACGUUAAAUUAUUUCUGUUCUGUUGAGUGUCUAAACCUCAUGAUUUCUCUGAUUAUUGUGUUAGAUUUUUCUGUUUAGUGUCUUUCUACCUAAAAUGGAGGAGAUCAUCACCUGUGUUUUCAAUCGUUGUGGUAUUUCUCUUAACUCAGAUUUUUAAGUCAGAGUAAUUGUUGAAAGUGUUCUGGUUAUUUUUAAAGAUAUAGGCAGAUUUGUUUAUUUCUUGCUGGACACAAAGUAUAAUAUUUUAUUUUGCAAACUUGGUAGCCUAGUAUUACUGAAAGCUUUCAAUAUGAUGAUACUCUGAUGUAAUAAAAUAAGUAGGAAAAGACCCUUUUACUAGCUCUCCUGUUGCUUUUCUAUUCCUGUGGCUGUGGUUACACAACAUCAGAGUGUUGUGUAAAAAAAAAGUGAAGAUAUUUUUAUUUUUUGUGAGUCAGUAUAUACCUUUUGUUGACAAUAAGCGCCGCUCCCUCUCCUAUUCCAUGUUGCAAUUUCACUGAAUAAUAAAGUUAUAGCCCUGGUAGAACCUAUAGAAAGGACUUUGAAAAUCACAUGUAGAGGGUGAUCACAAAUAGAGUGUAAAAGGAAAAAUAGAUGUGUUCUGUCUUUAUACAUGUUGGUAUAUAAGUUGUAUAUAUUUUUAAAGCAAGUAUGUAGCAGUGUAUGAUAAUUCGUAUAUUAAAAGAGCCAAAACUUACUUUCUAUAUAGAGAAUCAGAAAAACUUGUUUGGUUUUUGUAGGCUUGUUACAAUGAUAUUAAGGAGCUUCACAGUAUUUGAUGAUUUUUUGUGUAUUCCCAGAACAGAAAAGCACCAUUGUCCUGUUAAAUCAAGGAGAAAACUGAGCUACUUGUUUAGUGAGUAGUAAAGUCAAUGAUAUUAAAUGGAUUCUCCUGCCUUUUAACCUUGUGCCUCCAGCUCCUUUUUCCCCUCAAGACCCAAACAUUCCAUUACCAUCAUCUGCUUUGCAUUUCUACGUGAAAGGCCCAAGGUGUUUCUGUUUGGACUCCCAGAAAAUGAGGAAGACAAGGUUGGUUGGCCAUCUGCCAGGGUGCAAGGUCUGACUCGCUCCUUGCUCACAGGGGCUGCUGGUGAAGGCAGAGUCAGAACUGAGUGUUCUGUGUGGCAUUCAACUGCCUUAACCACAUGCCCAUCGCUCUCUUCCUGAGCUGUCUGUCUUGUUCUCAGCAUAACUCCUAAAGACAACACGUAUAACAACCAAUAAAUAAUCUAAUUUGAUGCACAGCCCUGAUUCACUUCCUGAGCCGUGUCCUGCUCACACGGGGCAGCCACAGUCCCAUGGAAAAAUUCAUCAUGGUGCAUGAGGCCAAAGAGUAAGGCUGUUAAGUGUCUUUAAACUUUGCAAUGAAGCAGUGUUCUUUUAACGUCACUUAUUAUAGUCAUAGCUCAACGUAUUUUUAACAAGGCACAAGAGAAAAAUGGAAGCUUUUAGAACUGGUUGUAACCAAUUUCCUGUCUAGCCUGUGAAUGUGAAUGUCCAGCUCAGUGAAACACAGACACACAGACCAUCAGCCAAUGGGAGGAGGCUGGCCACUUCCAGGGAGGAAGGGAAGGAAGAAGGAUGGGUGCUUAACACCAUGGGUAUAUCCAAUUUGCUUCCAAGUCUCAGGGACUAUUUGUGGAGUGUUGACCCCAGCUUUUUAGCUUUUGCUUUCUCUUCAGCAUUCCCACACCCAAAAAUUAGCUCCUCCAGAGCUUCUCAGUACAAUAGAUAUUGGGGGUGUUUCUGUAGUCUGCUAAUAAUUUAAAUGAAGAAGCAGAAAUCAAAGGUGGGCUUUUCUGCUGCAUUUUCCUGUUGAAAAAUAAGAGGAGAUGCUCCCAGUUCUCUCCACAAUGAAUUUCAGGGGCUAUCCUUCUGAUCCUUGAUCUCACAAAGAGAUGGCAAAAACUUUAAUAGAAAAUUCUGUUCUUGGCUUACCCCUUUAUCUUCUUCCUGGUCAAAUUGUAGUGACCUACUGUGUUUGUAAGCUACCAAGGAUGAUGUGUAGGCUCCAGUGUCAGAGCAAUUGUGUUGGGAACACAAGCUCAUCUUGUUAUCUUUUAUGUUAGAAUUUGGUAGCACAAUAAGUUUUUUUCAGAGAAACCUUGCCAGACCAUGGUCUGAGUUUCAGUUUUUGUUAAUAUCUGCUUUAUCUAUGGAUGGUGUUUGAGAUUUGGUCACCAAGCCUAAUGAUUUGCUAUGAGGAAAACAAAAUCUCAUACUUUGCUUUUGCAUGUUUUUCUCUGAGAUAUGCAGUCAUUUAUCCCAAGUACUGCAGCAAGUUCCUGUAAAAAGACCAGGUGGGAAUACUGUUAGGGAAAAUUUGUUCAACCCAUUCACUGAAAUUCAUAAAAAUCAAAAUACUUGCAAAAAUAAUUCACUGGUCUUUUGUUGCAAAAUAAAAAUGAAAAACC
rnacentral:lncRNA from 1 species